GCCUAGCUCAGUUGGUUAGUUAGAGCAUGGUGCUGAUAACACCAGGGUUGCAGGUUCAAUUCCCAUAUGGAACA